UGAAGGAGCCCCAAGCAGGGAGCUGCUUGGUCAGUACAGCACAUAUCACUAUAGAACAUCUGACCAACAGACCCCUGUCAGGGAACCUAAAUGUGCCGACGCCCAAAACAUAGAUUCCAGGAGAAACUUGUACUGACGCCCAAAACAUAGAUUCCAGGAGAAACUUGUGGGCCACGUAUGGUGGCUAGUGAUAUGCUGUCAGGCAUUGGGUAUAAAAGACUCUGCACUCACAACUGCAGGCGGAACUCUUGUGCUGAGCUUCCCCUGGUGUAUACCAGAAUAAAGGACCCUCCUGCUUGAUUGCAUUGUCUGGGGGUCUUCCAUGGUGGUGGGUGACAAACUGGACCUUAACAUUUGGGGUCUCGCCGGUACCCCUCCACCUUGGAACCCCCCAGACAGGAGGGCCUAAGGCACUGCCUUGGACCGGACCUUCAGAUGGGCCCCCAAAGGAGCGGCAGAGAGAAAAUUCUGAGCAGAAAAGGGAGAUUCUUACUCCACAGUUAGAAACUUUCUCUUAAAAUUAAUUCUCAAACUGGGUGGAUUGCUAAUGAUUUUGAUACGGUACAAAUGUAAUGUAUUGUAGUUACUGUAUGUCAAAUGUGAAAUGUUGACAGAUUUUUAUUGAACAACAAAAAUCCUGAUUAGAAGUUUGCUUUGUUAAACCUUGCAAUGCAUAAUGAUUUCAGUGAAUUUGAGAAUUGUGUAACUGUGAUUGAUAGCAAGUCUGAUGCAGAGAGGAAAGUUUAUUCUGUAUAGAUAGAAAAUUGUACUGACUACUUUAUAGAUGUAAAAGUUAUUCAGAAAAAUUUGUGUUGUUGAAAAGAACUUAUUCUAGAAUUUGAAUUUGGGAAUCCUUCAAAUCACAUUUAUUUUAAUAUAUGUGCUGUCAGAAAUAGCAGCAAGAAAUUAUAUUACACACACAAGAAGUUUUUUUUUCUUUUUCAAAGUGGUUAAUCUGUGCAUGGCAUUAAUGAGAUAAAUGCUAAGAAUUGAUGUUUUACAAAAGAGGAAAUUUUUAAAUAAUGUUUUUAAUCAAGGCUAUAUGAAUUGUUUUUAAAUGUGCAAAAUGCAAAAUGCAUAGGAAGGAAUUUGUAAUCUAGAUGCCAAAUGCUGGAAAUUAGUGAAUGCUAAAUAUGUAUGCAUUAUAUUAUGAAGAGGAUUAAGUUUUCCACCUAAAUAGGUUAAGGGUAUAUGACAUACAACCUGUGUGCCCUUAACAAGAUAAAUUCAACCAGCCCUGUAAUCGAGAGGGCUUUUCAUGAGGAUUAAAUACAGUCUAGCUUCAGAUAUAUCAAAGAGGUCAGGCUGGAAUGCCAGGUAACAUGAAGCUAAGUAGGGAAAAGUGAUUAAGUACAUGUGAAGGGAAAUAACUUUAUGUCUUAUAACCUAACUAGAUAAGUUAAUAAUUGAAUUUUGGGGUGUCUGGAUUCAUUUUAUGAAGUGCUCCACUUCAAUAAGAGUAAUGAAUAGAGAUACUAAUUGAUACUAUGAAUUCUAGUGUGAAAUAGACACAACAAAUUAUGAAUUGGAAUAAUGUUGAUGGACUUAAAUUAGGAAUGUAGCAAUGUUUUGAGCUAGAAAGAGACUAAACUGGAGGUUCUGUUCUACUUUAGACAGGUUUGAGAGAAGUACAGGUAAAUGCUUUGCACCUCAGUUUGGUUACACUGAAACAUUGCUAAAGGACUUAAUCAGAGUUAUUUGGAAGUGUGGAGUUCAAACUGAAAUCCACUGAGACUAAAUUAUUAUGAAGGGGGUUUGAUACAUUCAAACUUUUACAUUAUAGUGAGCUCACUGGUUAAAGAAGGAUGGGCCAAGGUUGCUAAGUAAUAAAAUCUAAGUCAAGGCCA
rnacentral:lncRNA from 1 species